rnacentral:rRNA from 1 species
AGCGUUCCUUAACGGGUAGGCAGCAGUGGGAAAUAUUGCACAAUGGGCGCAAGCCUGAUGCAGCCAUGCCGCGUGUGUGAAGAAGGCCUUCGGGUUGUAAAGCACUUUCAGUAAGGAGGAAAGGUUAGUAGUUAAUACCUGCUAGCUGUGACGUUACUUACAGAAGAAGCACCGGCUAACUCCGUGCCAGCAGCCGCGGUAAUACGGAGGGUGCGAGCGUUAAUCGGAAUUACUGGGCGUAAAGCGUACGCAGGCGGUUUGUUAAGCGAGAUGUGAAAGCCCGGC